rnacentral:lncRNA from 1 species
CCUGUACAUGACUUCAGGGCAGCAUCACCAGAUACCCAGUUCAUUCCUGAUACAGAGGCUGGCCCUUCAGAGUUUACUAGGAUGCCCAUACCAGUGUAUCAGCCAGAGACCAGAGCACAUCCAUCAGAGUUCAGACUGGCUGACGAUCAGAUCGAGCAUAUAUCACAGCGUGUGGCCUCUUUAUUAUCUAGUCAGUGGAGUAGUACUACUUUUGCACCGGAAGCCACUUCUUCUGAUCAGACCAUGACUCCCCACAUAUCCACUGUGUUUCAGAUGAUAUCAGAUCAGUCCAUCCGGAUCCAGCAGCUUGAGGACAGUCUAGAGACUGACUGGCAGAGUUCUAGACUUGCAGGGGCAAGUCCUUGCUUUGGCCAAUCCCAAGCCACAGGAGUCUACUAUUGAGGUCACAGACCUCACUGCAGAGGCUGGAAGGCUCAGAGGAGCACUAGAGGGAGGAUAUGAGUUACUGAGGAAAGAGAUCCGAGGAUCGAGUGAGCAAGCAUCCACUCAGUUCACUGCUCUACUUCAAUCUAUUUUCAGAGCAUUGAACGUACUUGAUUCCAUCAGACUCACCCUUUCUGUUCAGUCUUUAGCCUCUCAGCGUUCUCAGCCACCCAGUUCUUCUCACCCUCCUGCUCGUGCCAGAGGCAGACGGGGUAGAGGACGUACUUUUGAUAGAGAUCCAUCAGCUUCUCAUACCAUAUCUGAUGACUUCGAUCCUUGACUUGUCUUGAUCAUUACUAGACCCUAGGUGUUAGUGUCUUGUUCUAGGAUCUGUAUUUUGGGGUCAUGUAUUGACAAUUAGCUGGUUGACUUUUAUAAUAUGAACUAUGUAUUGAAACAAUUAUGGUUGUAUGAUAUCAUCUUUUACUUAUAUCUCUACCUUUUGUAAUGAUGUCGAUCAUAUUAUGGUUAUAUAUAUAUUCUCCUUGUUGAAAUAUUGUCUUCUCUUUGUUG